rnacentral:rRNA from 1 species
GAUGAACGCUGGCGGCGUGCCUAAUACAUGCAAGUCGAGCGAACAGACGAGGAGCUUGCUCCUCUGACGUUAGCGGCGGACGGGUGAGUAACACGUGUAUAACCUACCUAUAAGACUGGGAUAACUUCGGGAAACCGGAGCUAAUACCGGAUAAUAUAUUGAACCGCAUGGUUCAAUAGUGAAAGACGGUUUUGCUGUCACUUAUAGAUGGAUCCGCGCCGCAUUAGCUAGUUGGUAAGGUAACGGCUUACCAAGGCAACGAUGCGUAGCCGACCUGAGAGGGUGAUCGGCCACACUGGAACUGAGACACGGUCCAGACUCCUACGGGAGGCAGCAGUAGGGAAUCUUCCGCAAUGGGCGAAAGCCUGACGGAGCAACGCCGCGUGAGUGAUGAAGGUCUUCGGAUCGUAAAACUCUGUUAUUAGGGAAGAACAAAUGUGUAAGUAACUAUGCACGUCUUGACGGUACCUAAUAAGAAAGCCACGGCUAACUACGUG